UACCAGUGGUUGGCUGCGUCCUGACGAUCCCAGCUGGUAUUCCAAUUGGGAGGAUCUAAAGUUUACAGUCGGAGAUGUUCUAGUAUUCAACUUUCUGACGGGUCACAAUGUGGCCGGAGUGACAAAAGACGGUUACGACAACUGUGACACCAAUAACCCCAAAUUCAUAAACACCACAUCUCCAUUUUUGUUCACUAUCAAGACUCUCGACGAUCUCUUUUUCAUCUGUACCGUCCAGGCCACUGCUCCGCCGGUCAGAAAAUUACCAUCACUAACAUCCAACAAUCGUCAUCAACACCGAGCUCCCCUGAUUCUCCACCUGUUGUUACUGCUCCAUCGCCACCAAACUCCGUCGCCAGUAUUAUGGCCUCCACAUUCACUGUUGCCUUCAUGUUGAUGGAUGUCAUGUUAAUAAUAUAUUAAUUAUAACUCAUUAGUGUUUGGUAUUAAAAACAUGAUUUGCUUAAUUAGCGCAAAAAGUUGACGAGGUUCUGUCAACGACGCUAUUUAUUCAGUAUUGUAUUGAGAUUUUAUUUUUAAUAUCAAAGUUAUUCAACGACGCUAUUUAUUCA